UACGAAGGGGGCGAGCGUUGUUCGGAAUUACUGGGCGUAAAGGGCGCGCAGGCGGCCCCUGAAGUCAGGCGUGAAAGCCCUGGGCUCAACCUGGGAAUUGCGCUUGAUACUCUGGGGCUUGAGUGCGGGAGAGGAGAGUGGAAUUCCCAGUGUAGAGGUGAAAUUCGUAGAUAUUGGGAAGAACACCGGUGGCGAAGGCGGCUCUCUGGGCCGUAACUGACGCUGAGGCGCGAAAGCGUGGGGAG
rnacentral:rRNA from 1 species